rnacentral:rRNA from 1 species
AGGACUAACGCUGGCGGCGUGCCUAACACAUGCAAGUCGAACGAGAGUAGCAAUACUCUAGUGGCAGACGGGUGAGUAACACGUGGUCAACCUACCUCUUAGUGGGGGAUAACUAGCCGAAAGGUUAGCUAAUACCGCAUUCGAUCUUCGAUCGGCAUCGAUUGAAGAUGAAAGGCGCAAGUCGCUAAGAGACGGGACCGCGUCCCAUUAGCUAGUUGGUAGGGUAAUGGCCUACCAAGGCGACGAUGGGUAGCUGGCUUGAGAGAGCGACCAGCCACACUGGGACUGAGACACGGCCCAGACUCCUACGGGAGGCAGCAGUGAGGAAUUUUCCGCAAUGGGCGAAAGCCUGACGGAGCGACGCCGCGUGUGGGAAGAAGGCCUUCGGGUCGUAAACCACUGUCGAAGGGGAAGAUAUUGACGGUACCCUUGGAGGAAGCCCCGGCUAACGUACGCGCCAGCAGCCGC